UGAGACUCUCGGAUCGGGUUUAAGGAACCGGCAACGGAUCCUUUCUUCUGAGAAGUUUGUCAAACUUGGUCAUUUAGAGGAAGUAAAAGUCGUAACAAGGUUUCCGUAGGUGAACCUGCGGAAGGAUCAUUA
rnacentral:rRNA from 1 species